GAUGAACGCUAGCGGCAGGCCUAAUACAUGCAAGUCGAACGGUUCUUGGUUUUCGGAUCAAGGAUAGUGGCGCACGGGUGCGUAACACGUACACAACAUACCCUUUACUGGGGGAUAGCGGUGGGAAACUGCCAGUAAUACCCCAUGUCGUUAAGAAUUGGCAUCAAAUUUUUAACGAAAAUUACGGUGGUAGAGGAUUGGUGUGCGUCCGAUUAGCUAGUUGGCGGGGUAACGGCCCACCAAGGCGACGAUCGGUAGGGGGUGUGAGAGCAUGGCCCCCCCACACGGGUACGUGAGACACGGACCCGACUCCUACGGGAGGCAGCAGUAAGGAAUAUUGGACAAUGGGCGGAAGCCUGAUCCAGCCAUGCCGCGUGAAGGAAGAAUGCGCUCAGCGUUGUAAACUUCUUUUGAAUGGGAACAAUAAUCCCGACGUGUCGGGACUUGAGGGUACCAUUAGAAUAAGCACCGGCUAACUCCGUG
rnacentral:rRNA from 1 species